GACGAACGCUGGCGGCGUGCUUAACACAUGCAAGUCGAACGGAAAGACCCUGCUUUUGUGGGGUGCUCGAGUGGCGAACGGGUGAGUAACACGUGAGUAACCUGCCCUUGACUUUGGGAUAACUGCAGGAAACUGGGGCUAAUACCGGAUAGGAGCUCCUGCUGCACGGUGGGGUUUGGAAAGUUUCGGCGGUUGGGGAUGGACUCGCGGCUUAUCAGCUUGUCGGUGGGGUAGUGGCUUACCAAGGCGUUGACGGGUAGCCGGCCUGCGAGGGUGACCGGCGACAUUGGGCAUGAGAUACGGCCAAGACUCCGACGGGAGGCAGCAGUGGGGAGUAUUGCACAGUGGGCGGAAGCCUGAUGCAGCAACGCCGCGUGCGGGAUGACGGCCUUCGGGUUGUAAACCGCUUUCGACUGUGACGAAGCGUGAGUGACGGUAAUGGGUAAAGAAGCACCGGCUAACUACGUG
rnacentral:rRNA from 1 species